UACAGAGGGUGCGAGCGUUGUUCGGAAUUACUGGGCGUAAAGCGCGCGCAGGCGGUCCUUUAAGUCCACCCGUGAAAUGCCGGAGCUCAACUCCGUGCACGCCGGGGGAUACUGGGGGACUGGAGACAUGUAGAGGCAAGCGGAAUUCCGGGUGUAGCGGUGGAAUGCGUAGAUAUCCGGAAGAACACCUGAGGCGAAGGCGGCUUGCUGGGCAUGAUCUGACGCUGAGGCGCGAAAGCGUGGGGAGCAAACAGG
rnacentral:rRNA from 1 species